GAUGAACGCUGGCGGCGUGCCUAACACAUGCAAGUCGAGCGAUGAAACCGCCUCCGGGCGGACAUGAAGCGGCGAACGGGUGAGUAACACGUGACCGACCUGCCCCCCGCCCAGGGACAGCCCCCCGAAAGGGGGAUUAAUACCUGGUACUCCGGAAGCGGCGCAUGCCGCGUCCGGGAAAGCUUUCGCGGCGGGGGAUGGGGUCGCGGCCCAUCAGGUAGACGGCGGGGCAGAGGCCCACCGUGCCGACGACGGGUAGCCGGGUCGAGAGACCGACCGGCCACAUUGGGACUGAGAUACGGCCCAGACUCCUACGGGAGGCAGCAGCGGGGAAUUUUGCGCAAUGGGGGCAACCCUGACGCAGCAACGCCGCGUGCGGGACGAAGGCGUCCGCGUCGUAAACCGCUUUCAGCGGGGAACACUUCAACGAGGGUACCCGCAGAAGAAGCCCCGGCUAAAUACGUGCCAGCCGCCGCCGUAA
rnacentral:rRNA from 1 species